GUCUAGCUAGAUCAGUUGGUAGAGCAUGAGAUUCUUAAUCUUAGGGUUGUGGGUUCAAGCCCCACUUUGGCCA